UAUCAUACAAUAUCAUACUUAAGUAUACAAUAUAAUAUAAUGUGUUACAAAAUUGUGAUGUAUUAUGUGAUAUGACAUUGUAUCAUAUAUUAUGAUAUUGUAUUAUGUGAUCAAAUGCAAUAAUGUAUUUAACAUGACACUAUGUCAUAUCAACUGUUACAAUAUCAUAUUGCAUCAUUAUUUAUUACAGUAUUUUAUUUUUAUUAUUAUAUGUGUGUAUCUUAUAUUAAUAUAUGAAAUGAACAUAUGAUUAUUAUCCAAUUUUUUAACAUAUGAUGUAGUAAUAUGAUAUUGUUUCGAAACAGUAUCCAUAGAUAUCCAAGAUCAUUAACUAUGAUUUUCAGGUAAUAUGAUAAAGGUGGUCUCAUAAAGGUGAUGCUUUAUAAAGGCAAGAAAGUGGCCCCUAAACGUGAUAUGUAUUGCAGACGACAUCCUAAUGUCUUUAUGUUUGAAAAUUUUGAAUUUUUUUUAGCUGCAUAAUCCUGUUCGUCCUUUAAUAUUUUUUUUGCCAUGCAUUUGAUCAGUCAUUUUUGCUCCCAGAGUAACUUUUAAACUUUGUCAAUUUCUUACAUGUGUACUUAUUAUCAAUGUUAUUCAUUAACAUUUAUUAAUGAAUGGUUCAUUCAAUACGUGAUCUUUGAUCACCUUUUUUUAUUGUUAUAUAUGAAUUAUGAAGAAUAUUAAGUAAAUCAAUUUUAAAAGCUUUAUUUUCUUGAAAUGUAUGAAAUUUGAAAUAUGAAGGUUGAAAAUAGAUUAUGAAAAUUUUGAUUUCAUAAAUUUACAGAUCCUUACAUACAUGAUUUUGUUGCACAGAAAAAAAUGAAACUGUUGUAAUUGAACUGCAAGUUCACCAAAAUAAUGGACAUGUUAUGUACACUGAAUUUUGAAUGGAAAUGAUUGCUCUAUUAAUAAAUUUGAAAUGAUUAAUUGUUUAAACUUUCAAAAUUGAACUAAUGUUUACACCCUGGUCCAUAAAUUAUAAAUGAAAUCUAUUUGAAAUUAGUUUUGAUGAUUAGUAAAGUUUGUUCAUGAA